rnacentral:misc_RNA from 1 species
GUCACCUCCUGUGAAAUAAUCAACACAAUUCACUCCUUUCUGAUGGGCAUCUAAUGUAAAAUUAGGAUCAGGUGAUCCAAGGUUCCAAAUCUUUAUUGUCCGAUCAAGGGAUGCACUAGCAAAGGUGUUGGUGUCUUUGGGAUUAAAUGUUACUUGCAUCACAUAAUGAGAAUGCCCCUCAAAAAUCUGAGUACACACCCAACCCUUAUCCCAAUCCCAAAGUUUUAUAAGCAUAUCAUCAGAUGAAGACAGUACAUAAGGAAGGUUAGGAUGAACAGCCACACAUCUG